CUACGGGGCGCUGCAGUGAGGAAUAUUGCACAAUGGAGGAAACUCUGAUGCAGCAACGCCGCGUGGAGGAUGACGCAUUUCGGUGUGUAAACUCCUUUUAUUAGGGAAGAUUAUGACGGUACCUAAUGAAUAAGCACCGGCUAACUCCGUGCCAGCAGCCGCGGUAAUACGGAGGGUGCAAGCGUUACUCGGAAUCACUGGGCGUAAAGGGUGCGUAGGCUGGCUUUUAAGUCAGGUGUGAAAUCCAAUGGCUUAACCAUUGAACUGCACUUGAAACUGAGAGCCUAGAGUUCAGAAGGGGCAGAUGGAAUUAGUGGUGUAGGGGUAAAAUCCGUAGAUAUCACUAGGAAUAUCAAAAGCGAAGGCGAUCUGCUGGGAUGAUACUGACGCUGAGGCACGAAAGCGUGGGGAGCAAACAGGAUUAGAUACCCUUGUAGUC
rnacentral:rRNA from 1 species